rnacentral:rRNA from 1 species
UACGAAGGGGGCUAGCGUUGCUCGGAAUCACUGGGCGUAAAGCGCACGUAGGCGGAUUGUUAAGUCAGGGGUGAAAUCCUGGAGCUCAACUCCAGAACUGCCUUUGAUACUGGCGAUCUCGAGUCCGGGAGAGGUGAGUGGAACUGCGAGUGUAGAGGUGAAAUUCGUAGAUAUUCGCAAGAACACCAGUGGCGAAGGCGGACUCACUGGCCCGGUACUGACGCUGAGGUGCGGAAAGCGUGGGGAGCAACAGG